UGAAAUAAAAAUUUCUAUGAACCUUCUUCCUUAUUAUGAAUCAGUAAUCAUAUUACUCACACUACAAACUCUAAUUAGAAGUUGUUCUACGCGAUUUGGCACAUUUUAGCCUUGCGCCAUACCUGGAAUUCAUGAGCGCUCUAGAAAACCUGUCUUGUUUUCAUAAGAGGCGGCCCCACCUCUACACUCAUAUAGGUGUUUCCAUCAAAUGUGUUCUACAG
rnacentral:lncRNA from 1 species